rnacentral:rRNA from 1 species
UGCGCAGGCGGUUCGUUAAGUCGGAUGUGAAAUCUCACAGCCUAACUGUGAUAGGUCAUUCGAAACUGGCGGACUUGAGGGCUGGAGAGGAGACUGGAAUAGUCGGUGUAGCGGUGAAAUGCGUAGAGAUCGACUAGAACACCGGUGGCGAAGGCGAGUCUCUGGACAGUUCCUGACGCUCAGGCACGAAAGCCAGGGGAGCAAACG